GACAAACGCUGGCGGCGUGCAUAAAACAUGCAAGUCGGACGGAUCUCUUCGGAGGUCAGUGGCGGACGGCUGAGUAACACGUAAGUGACCUACCCUUAAGUGGGGAAUAACUGCUCGAAAGAGUGGCUAAUACCGCAUGAGCUCGCUGGGUCGGACUGGUGAGGAAAGCAGUGAUGCGCUUAAGGAUGGGCUUGCGGCCGAUUAGCUAGUUGGAGGGGUAACGGCCCACCAAGGCGAUGAUCGGUAGCUGGUCUGAGAGGAUGAUCAGCCAGACUGGGACUGCGACACGGCCCAGACUCCUACGGGAGGCAGCAGUUAGGAAUUUUGCGCAAUGGCCGAAAGGCUGACGCAGCAACGCCGCGUGGAGGAAGAAGGUCUUCGGAUCGUAAACUCCUUUUCUGAGGGAAGAUGAUGACGGUACCUCAGGAAUAAGCCCCGGCUAACUACGUGCCAGCAGCCGCGGUAAUACGUAGGGGGCGAGCGUUGUCCGGAUUUACUGGGCGUAAAGAGCGCGUAGGCGGUCUUUCAAGUCGUGCGUGAAAUACCUCGGCUCAACCGGGGGGAGUCGUGCGAUACUGGGGGACUUGAGGUCGGAAGAGGGAAGUGGAAUUCCGGGUGUAGUGGUGGAAUGCGUAGAUAUCCGGAGGAACACCAGUGGCGAAGGCGGCUUCCUGGUCCGAUCCUGACGCUGAGGCGCGAAAGCGUGGGGAGCGAACUGAAUUAGAUACUCAGGUAGUCCACGCUGUAAACAAUGGGUGCUAGGUGUCGGGGGUAUCGACCCCUCCGGUGCCGGAGCUAACGCAUUAAGCACCCCGCCUGGGGAGUACGGCCGCAAGGCUAAAACUCAAAGGAAUUGACGGGGGCCCGCACAAGCGGUGGAUCAUGUGGUUUAAUUCGAUGCAACGCGAAGAACCUUACCAGGGCUUGAAGUGUGGGGGACGACUCCUGA
rnacentral:rRNA from 1 species